GAUGAACGCUGGCGGCGUGCCUAAUACAUGCAAGUCGAGCGAACGGACGAGAGGCUUGCUUCUCUGAUGUUAGCGGCGGACGGGUGAGUAACACGUGGAUAACCUACCUAUAAGACUGGGAUAACUUCGGGAAACCGUAGCUAAUACCGGAUAAUAUUUUGAACCGCAUGGUUCAAAAGUGAAAGACGGUCUUGCUGUCACUUAUAGAUGGAUCCGCGCUGCAUUAGCUAGUUGGUAAGGUAACGGCUUACCAAGGCAACGAUGCAUAGCCGACCUGAGAGGGUGAGCGGCCACACUGGAACUGAGACACGGUCCAGACUCCUACGGGAGGCAGCAGUAGGGAAUCUUCCGCAAAGGGCGAAAGCCUGACGGAGCAACGCCGCGUGAGUGAUGAAGGUCUUCGGAUCGUAGAACUCUGUUAUUAGGGAAGAACAUAUGUGUAAGUAACUGUGCACAUCUUGACGGUACCUAAUCAGAAAGCCACGGCUAAGUACGUG
rnacentral:rRNA from 1 species